AGCCCUCCCCUCCCGCGCGGCUCGGGUCAGUCACGCAAAUAACAGUGUGAGGGCCGGGGCUGCGCGGGGGGGCGGCGGCCCGCUGCUGGCUGCGUGACAGCGAUGGGGACUGGCUGUGCUGCCUACUCUGAUCCGGCAGGAGGAGGCGGCGGCGGAGGCUGGCUCCUAACUCUGCGUGCAGGCGGCGGCUGCUGCUCAGACUCUGCCUGGCGCUGCCGGGGAGCCCCUACGGCCAAACCCCACUCCCGGGGGACAGCCAGAUUUGGAGUGAAUCAGAUCACGCAGUGCCCACUCUUGGAGACCGCUCCGGGGGAAGUCCGGCGGGGCUGUGUGCUGGGAUCUGAGGAGGCUGGAAGCCGUAGGCGGGAGGCUUGGCCGUGACAUUUGCCCCUUGCUUGCUUGCCUGUUUUCUGGGAAAGUCAGGGUAGGGUGUGGGCAGGUCGAAACAGCUCCUGAAUACGUCCUGUUGCUUUACUGAGUUUCUGGAAAAGGCACUUCUUAACCUGGUAUGAGCGAAGCUGUAAAUGCAUGUCGAUACCUCAGCUUCCUCCAACCCUCCCUCCCGCACGGAUCUUCCUCCCACUGGCUCACCUUGAACCCUGACGUCGGUGCUCCGCAGCACCCACUACUAGAUCUUCUCCUCCCUGCUGAUUCCCAGGAGUUAUGGCUUUUCACAGUUUCUUGGCUACUGUCCAGCAAUCAUUUUACAGACCUUAACCCUUUACACACCCUUGUACUUGAAAGUACUGUAACUGUAACCACCAAUAAACCUGAAUGGAGAUGUUCACUAAAGCAAAUACACUGGCAAGAACCCACCUUCUUCCCCACAGGUGCAUUUCUGCACGUAAUUUGAGACUUAAAGACAAUUGCUUCUGUGAAGAAACUAAGGAAAGGCAAAUUAGACACUGUAUCUCUACUCAAAUUCACUUAGAAUACCCGACAUCCCCUUUCCACAAAGGAGUCAUCUGGAGAGACCUAGGAAUAAUUUAGCUUUGGAGUCUUGAAGUGAGCGAAAUCUUUACAUACGUGUGUGUGUAUGUAUAUAUAUGUAUAUAUUUCAAAUAUAUAUAUGAAAUUGAAACCUACAGUGCUCUGGAAUUCAGAAGAGAGAUACUAAGUGAACACAAAGGUUUACUUUGGUCAUAUUGGGAC
rnacentral:lncRNA from 1 species